UAGGGAAUCUUCCGCAAUGGGCGAAAGCCUGACGGAGCAACGCCGCGUGAGUGAUGAAGGUCUUCGGAUCGUAAAACUCUGUUAUUAGGGAAGAACAAAUGUGUAAGUAACUAUGCACGUCUUGACGGUACCUAAUCAGAAAGCCACGGCUAACUACGUGCCAGCAGCCGCGGUAAUACGUAGGUGGCAAGCGUUAUCCGGAAUGAUUGGGCGUAAAGCGCGCGUAGGCGGUUUUUUAAGUCUGAUGUGAAAGCCCACGGCUCAACCGGGGAAGUUCAUUGGAAACUGGGAAACUUGAGUGCAGAAGAGGAAAGUGGAAUUCCAUGUGUAUCGGUGAAAUGCGCAGAGAUAUGGAGGAACACCAGUGGCGAAGGCGACUUUCUGGUCUGUAACUGACGCUGAUGUGCGAAAGCGUGGGGAUCAAACAGG
rnacentral:rRNA from 1 species